AUUGAACGCUGGCGGCAGGCCUAACACAUGCAAGUCGAGCGGAUGAAGGGAGCUUGCUCCUGGAUUCAGCGGCGGACGGGUGAGUAAUGCCUAGGAAUCUGCCUGGUAGUGGGGGAUAACGUCCGGAAACGGGCGCUAAUACCGCAUACGUCCUGAGGGAGAAAGUGGGGGAUCUUCGGACCUCACGCUAUCAGAUGAGCCUAGGUCGGAGUAGAUAGUUGGUGGGGUAAAGGCCUACCAAGGCGACGAUCCGUAACUGGUCUGAGAGGAUGAUCAGUCACACUGGAAGUGGGACACGGUCCAGACGCCUAAGGGAGGGAGCAGUGGGGAAUAUUGGACAAUGGGCGAAAGCCUGAUCCAGCCAUGCCGCGUGUGUGAAGAAGGUCUUCGGAGUGUAAAGCACUUUAGGUUGGGAGGAAGGGCAGUAAGUUAAUACCUUGCUGUUUUGACGUUACCAACAGAAUAAGCACCGGCUAACUUCGUG
rnacentral:rRNA from 1 species